rnacentral:rRNA from 1 species
UACAGAGGUCUCGAGCGUUUGUUCGGAUUCAUUGGGCGUAAAGGGCGCGUAGGCGGCGGGGUAAGUCUGGUGUGAAAUCUAGGAGCUCAACUCCUAAACUGCACUGGAUACUGCUCUGCUAGAGGACUGGAGAGGAGACUGGAAUUCACGGUGUAGCAGUGAAAUGCGUAGAUAUCGUGAGGAAGACCAGUGGCGAAGGCGGGUCUCUGGACAGGUUCCUGACGCUGAGGCGCGAAGGCCAGGGGAGCAAACGGG